AUUGAACGCUGCGGCAUGCUUUACACAUGCAAGUCGAACGGUAACAGGCCGCAAGGUGCUGACGAGUGGCGAACGGGGGAGUAAUGUAUCGGAACGUGCCCGGUCGCGGGGGAUAACGCAGCGAAAGCUGUGCUAAUACCGCAUACGAUCCAUGGAUGAAAGCGGGGGACCGUAAGGCCUCGCGCGAUUGGAGCGGCCGAUAUCAGAGUAGGUAGUUGGUGGGGUAAAGGCUCACCAAGCCGACGAUCUGUAGCUGGUCUGAGAGGACGACCAGCCACACUGGGACUGAGACACGGCCCAGACUCCUACGGGAGGCAGCAGUGGGGAAUUUUGGACAAUGGGCGCAAGCCUGAUCCAGCAAUGCCGCGUGCAGGACGAAGGCCUUCGGGUUGUAAGCUGCUUUUGUACGGAGCGAAACGGCCCUCUCUAAUAAAGAGGGCUAAUGACGGUACCGUAAGAAUAAGCACCGGCUAACUACGUGCCAGCCGCCGCCGUAA
rnacentral:rRNA from 1 species